CCUGAGCCUUGUACACACCGCCGUCAAGCCACCCGAAUUGGUCGGACCCGAAGUCAUAGUUCUAACCGCAAGGAAGGACGUGCCUAAGGUCAUGCCGGUAAGGGGACU
rnacentral:rRNA from 1 species